CUUUGGUUCAGUUGGUAGAGCGCUCGAAUUGCAUGCGUGAGGUCAUUGGUUCGAUGCCCGGC
rnacentral:tRNA from 1 species